UGCGAAAGUAUAAGAUGUCCAGCG
rnacentral:piRNA from 1 species